CCCUACGGGGUGCAGCAGGCGCGAAACCUUUACAAUGCACGAAAGUGUGAUAAGGGAACUCUAAGUGCCUUGCUUUUGCAAGGCUUUUGCUAAGUUUAAAAUGCUUGGCGAAUAAGUGGUGGGAAAGACUGGUGCCAGCCGCCGCGGUAACACCAGCGCCACGAGUGGGAACCGUUUUUAUUGGGUCUAAAGCGUCCGUAGCCGGUUUAGCAAGUCUCUUGUGAAAUCAUUAAGCUUAACUUAAUGGCGUGCUUGAGAUACUGUUGGACUAGGAACUUGAAGGAGUCAGAAGUAUUUCUGGGGGAGCGGUAAAAUGCUAUAAUCCCAGAAGGACUACCUGUGGCGAAAGCGUCUGUCUAGUAUAGAUUCGACGGUGAGGGACGAAAGCUAGGGGAGCAAUCCGGAUUAGAUACCCGAGUAGUCCUAGCCAUAAACUCUGCGAGCUAGGUGUUGCACAUUCUUCGUGAAUGUGCAGUGUCGUAAUGAAGAUGUUAAGCUCGCCACCUGGGAAGUAUGGUCGCAAGACUGAAACUUAAAGGAAUUGGCGGGGGAGCAC
rnacentral:rRNA from 1 species